GGCCUGAACACGCUCCGCUUCUGGGCGGGAGGAACCCGGGGCGUGCUGCCCGCGUCUGCUCCGCGAAAGGCGUGCGGCAUCCGAGCUGAGCUUCUGACCCACGCCCUGGACGCUGCGAGCAGAUGAGGAAACUGGCCCAGAGAGGUUGAGUCACUUGGUCAAGGUUGCACAGCUUGUAAGUGGAAAAGCUGGGAUUCUGGCCCAAGCCGUCUGGCUCCACAGUUUACCUCCACAGUCUACUGUCUUUUGAUGCCCUUGGAUGACGCAGACACAUCCUGGAGCCAGAGUGCUCCCAGAUUCGGUGUGGGGAAUUUGGACAGAGCACGGUGGAAAGAAUGUGUCUUGAUGACCCGGGCUUCUGGAGUGAAGGCACGGAGGCUGGAGGCAUCACCUGGUGGUUGGCUAGGACCUCGGCUGGACCGUUGGGGGAACAUGGACACGUGGCUUCUCCCUUUGGCCUUGGUGGCAUUGAGGAGCUGUCCUGCAGAUCUCCACCUGCAGGGUGGGCAACCACCCCACAGCCCCAGCUCCUGAAAUCCAUUGCCACUUCUGCACUGAGGCCAAGCUUGCCGUGGGCUGUUCCCAGCCAGUGACAGAGCAUGGCAGAAACAGUGAGCCCGGCCCAUUCCUGGAGAACGUGGGACUCCUCUGACAGGUGACCCUUGACUCAUGGACUCCCUGAUGGCUCUGUCAGGCCUUCCUUAAAACUGUGCUCCGGGGGUGCAAAACCCCCCACUCUUUGGCUGUGUGGAUUGCGCAGACUAAUGUCCUUCCAAAGAGUACAGGGUGGAAGGGGGAAAAAGUAACUUUUCAGUGGGAAAACCUGACACACACUUCAGGCGAACAGUCAAGGUCAACAUCAACAAAGAAGUCAUAUUGAUAGCAUGCACCCUUGUUAUGGAUGAGAAGGACGCUUUACCUAUGAAAAUCUUUGUCCCAAAAACUCCUAACCAAACUCUUAUCAUGAGACUAAACAUCAAACAGACUCUAAGAGAGGAACACUCUUCAAGAUAACCAACCUCGGGGCCCUGGGUGGCUCAGUCGUUAAGCAUCUGCCUUCA